CAGUGCUCGUCGGGACGUCCCGCCUCCGGGCGUGUUGGCGUCUCGCACCUGCCCUACCCGUGUCUACCUUUUCCUCUGUUGCUUCGGCGGGCCACGUCCAGCGUACCCACGCUGUACGGACCGGGGGUCCCCGCCGCGUACCCACGCGGCGCCCCCUGGUUAGCGCCCGUCAGAGGACCGUGUGAACCCUUUGCGAAUACGUGACGAGUCUGAGAUUGUGUGGGAAUACUUCAA
rnacentral:misc_RNA from 1 species